CACUGCUGCUUUUGCAUGAGAACCUUUCUUCUUUUCAUUCUUGGAAACAGAGCUAAUGACGUACGUGUCCUCUGAAUCCGUGUCAGAGUCCUCUUGGACUAGAGACACGUUUUUGCUUCGACACAUCUUUUCGAAAUGGUUAAGCUUGUUACAGCUAUGACAUUUUUUUCCAAAUGCCGGGCAAAUUCGUCUGCCAUGAUUUCUUCCGCAAUUGACCAUUUGCGUAAUAGACUAA